rnacentral:rRNA from 1 species
UGGGGAAUUUUGGACAAUGGGCGAAAGCCUGAUCCAGCAAUGCCGCGUGUGUGAAGAAGGCCUUCGGGUUGUAAAGCACUUUGUCCGGAAAGAAAUCCUUGGCUCUAAUACAGUCGGGGGAUGACGGUACCGGAAGAAUAAGCACCGGCUAACUACGUGCCAGCAGCCGCGGUAAUACGUAGGGUGCAAGCGUUAAUCGGAAUUACUGGGCGUAAAGCGUGCGCAGGCGGUUUGCUAAGACCGAUGUGAAAUCCCCGGGCUCAACCUGGGAACUGCAUGGUGACUGGCAGGCUAGAGUAUGGCAGAGGGGGGUAGAAUUCCACGUGUAGCAGUGAAAUGCGUAGAGAUGUGGAGGAAUACCGAUGGCGAAGGCAGCCCCCUGGGCCAAUACUGACGCUCAUGCACGAAAGCGUGGGGAGCAAACAGGAUUAGAUACCCUGGUAGUCCACGCCCUAAACGAUGUC